rnacentral:rRNA from 1 species
GAUGAACGCUGGCGGCGUGCCUAAUACAUGCAAGUCGAGCGAACAGAUAAGGAGCUUGCUCCUUUGACGUUAGCGGCGGACGGGUGAGUAACACGUGGGUAACCUGCCUAUAAGACUGGAAUAACUCCGGGAAACCGGAGCUAAUGCCGGAUAACAUUUAGAACCGCAUGGUUCUAAAGUGAAAGAUGGUCUUGCUAUCACUUAUAGAUGGAUCCGCGCCGCAUUAGCUAGUUGGUAAGGUAACGGCUUACCAAGGCAACGAUACGUAGCCGACCUGAGAGGGUGAUCGGCCACACUGGAACUGAGACACGGUCCAGACUCCUACGGGAGGCAGCAGUAGGGAAUCUUCCGCAAUGGGCGAAAGCCUGACGGAGCAACGCCGCGUGAGUGAUGAAGGUCUUCGGAUCGUAAAACUCUGUUAUUAGGGAAGAACAAAUGUGUAAGUAACUGUGCACGUCUUGACGGUACCUAAUCAGAAAGCCACGGCUAACUACGUG